rnacentral:lncRNA from 1 species
CCACACAAGUGGUUCUAUAAAUAGAACCCUUUCGCAGAAGCAUUUGUGAAGUUGCAAUUUCGUUUCUCUCUCUCUCACUCACUCAAAGCCUUCAUUCGUAGAAGCUAGCACUGAGAUUGAAGGAAUUCGUUCGUGUGGACUGAGCAGAGGCGUUGUCAUCGUUCAACAUUCGUGAUCGCUCCGUAGAUAUGCAUCAAAGGUUACAAUCGCCACAAGAGGGAACGAUUUAUCACUGAUCAUGCCCAUUUGUAAGGAUCACUAAAGGAGAAAUCUUUAAAUUCCGCUAUAUUUUGGAUCGCUCUUCUCCUACACACUGUACACACAAUUUCAUCCAUUCUUCAAUCAAUCUCCCUUAUGAAAAUCCAAUUCCAACAAAUUCCAAGUCCAUUCCAUGGUAAAAGAACCUAUUUGAUUUCAACUUGAAAAAAUCCAUUAGAAAAACCAUGUAAUAAAAACCGAUACAAUUUCAAUUCAAACUUGCAAAACCUAGCUAACACGGUUCAAACUUCCAAACAAUUCCCAAAUCAUCAUGACAAACCAAUUCAAUUCCAAUUGUUGACAUUAUACAAUAGCUCACUAAUUCAUAUAACCAAUAUCGACAUCCUAACUAACAUCCUUAUUCAUUCUAACCGAUAAUCCAAGGAAUGAACAAACUAAUAACGACUCUUACAAUUUAAUCUAAUUUCACUAAUAGCCACUAACAUGACACUAGCUCACUUGAUAGAAAUUCAUACCAUAUGUCGUUCCAAACUUAAGCCCAAAGCAAUCCCAAGGCAGCCAUUAAAUCUGAAUCCCACGACCCUGUCCAUCGAUCAUUCCAAGNN